rnacentral:rRNA from 1 species
AGAACGAACGCUGGCGGCAGGCUUAACACAUGCAAGUCGAACGCGUGUAGCAAUACACGAGUGGCGCACGGGUGAGUAACGCGUGGAUAUCUGCCUUUUGGUUCGGAAUAACUGAGAGAAAUCUUAGCUAAUACCGCAUAAUACCCACGGGUCAAAGCAGCAAUGCGCUUGGAGAGGAGUUCGCGGCCGAUUAGCUAGUUGGCGGUGUAAUGGCCCACCAAGGCGAUGAUCGGUAUCCGGCCUGAGAGGGCGCGACGGACCGACGACCUGGAACUGAAACACGGUCCAGACUCCUACGGGAGGCAGCAGUGGGGAAUUUUGCGCAAUGGGGGAAACCCUGACGCAGCAACGCCGCGUGGAGGAUGAAGUCCCUUGGGACGUAAACUCCUUUCGACCCGGACGAUAAUGACGGUACGGGUGGAAGAAGCCCCGGCUAACUUCGUGCCAGCAGCCGC